rnacentral:tmRNA from 1 species
GGGGCUGUAACGGUUUCGACGGGCUAGCGAACGAUACGCUAUGCAGGUCGAGAGGGAGUCUACUCUCGUAAAUCCAGGCUCAAAAGAAUAGAUGCAAACAACAUCGUUCCUUUUGCUCGCAAGGCAGCAGCAGUUGCCUAAUUAAAAACCUCUUCUAGGUUUGAGCACUCACAGUUCGACGCCGUUAAGGAUUGUGAGUUAACCCCAACGGCUGCUCUAGACGCUCGCCUCUGGUCGGUCGGCUAGUUAAGACAAUACUAGAGAAUCCCAUCGUUCGGGAUAAUGAACGAUUCCCGCUUUGAGGACUAGAAAAGCUAAACCUGUGAAUGAGUGGCGUACUAAUACCUAGUUUGGACACGGGUUCGACUCCCGUCAGCUCCACUA